rnacentral:lncRNA from 1 species
ACUACUAAAUUUUAGGUUUGAUAAUAAAAGAUACUUUCAUAUUUUAGGUUGAAUUCGAAUAUCCAAACUCAAACAGUGUACUGUUUAGUCUAUGUGCCCAAACCUAUCAGUUUGUAACCUGAUUUUCUAGAUAUCUAAGAACUUGGAAAGAACCAAAAUGAAUCUCGAGCCGGUCCGGAACUAAAAUCCCUACAGAAAAAAACAAUAUACAUUACAUGGACUUGUGGGGGUUGUAGGUACAUAAAAAGUGACAUAGAGACAUGGGUGCAAUAAUUUUCCAUUCAAAAGUUUACCCAUACCAAUGAUUAAAUCCAGUACGUUUGAAUUAUUACUCUUUACGUACCUAUUUAUAGUAAAGAACUAGAAUCGGAGAAACUCUCUCUCUCUCUCUCUAUAUAUAUAUAUAUAUAAACAUUUUUUGUAAACAAAUAUCUACAUAAACAUACUAUAAGCAAAAUACUUAGGGGACUUAAUAAUAAUUAGUUACUUGUUGCAGAAGUAGUUCCUGCCCGUAUGUUAUAAGUUUCUUUCGGUAAAUACCUUGAUCCAUGGACUUGUAAGAGUGAGUUACUUAAAUUAAACUUUUAAACAUUGUAUAGUACUGACUGGUGUCACAAAUCGUCGUCUCCCCAUAGUUUAAAAAAAAACCUUGCAUAGUAAAUAUGAUCCGUUUUUAGCAGUAGCACUUGCAAAAAUGGUGGAUCGACAAAUUUGGAACCAAUGCUUAUCUUUUUGUUAGCAAGGAAAUUUCAAACUUGCAGCAGGACUGUUUUUGUGACAUGCCACAAGAUAAAGCCAGCUCCAACGUUAGGUUUUUAAUAAGUAUCUAAAAUAAAAAAAAAAUAGAAAAAAUGAAAAAAUAUUGAAAGAAAAGAGGAGGCGGUACGGUAUGGAAGCAGAGAUACUUUGCUCCUAAUAUUAAAACCUCCCUUUCACUAUAUGUU